AACGAACGCUGGCGGCAUGCCUAACACAUGCAAGUCGAACGAGACCUUCGGGUCUAGUGGCGCACGGGUGCGUAACGCGUGGGAAUCUACCCUUGGGUUCGGAAUAACUCAGAGAAAUUUGAGCUAAUACCGGAUGAUGUCGCAAGACCAAAGAUUUAUCGCCCAAGGAUGAGCCCGCGUAGGAUUAGCUUGUUGGUGAGGUAAAAGCUCACCAAGGCGACGAUCCUUAGCUGGUCUGAGAGGAUGAUCAGCCACACUGGGACUGAGACACGGCCCAGACUCCUACGGGAGGCAGCAGUGGGGAAUAUUGGACAAUGGGCGAAAGCCUGAUCCAGCAAUGCCGCGUGAGUGAUGAAGGCCUUAGGGUUGUAAAGCUCUUUUACCCGGGAUGAUAAUGACAGUACCGGGAGAAUAAGCCCCGGCUAACUCCGUGCCAGCAGCCG
rnacentral:rRNA from 1 species